rnacentral:rRNA from 1 species
UACGUAGGGGGCGAGCGUUGUCCGGAUUUAUUGGGCGUAAAGAGCGUGUAGGCGGCCAGUCAGGUCCGUUGUGAAAACUCGAGGCUCAACCUCGAGACGCCGAUGGAAACCGACUGGCUAGAGUCCGGAAGAGGAGAGUGGAAUUCCCGGUGUAGCGGUGAAAUGCGCAGAUAUCGGGAAGAACACCCGUGGCUAAGGCGGCUCUCUAGUACGGUACUGACGCUGAGACGCGAAAGCGUGGGGAGCGAACAGG